GGAUUGUUAGUUCAAUAGUGCAAGAGCACCGCCCUGUCAAGGCGGACGUUGCGGGUUCGAGCCCGUCAGUCCC
rnacentral:tRNA from 1 species